CCCGAUCCACCCACCAACCGUCCCACUCCACCCACCACUGUUUGUCUAAAAAAAACACCCAACCCUCGAUCCAGAUCCCCUCCUCUCUUCUCCCGAUUCACCCCUCGUCUCCCUCCCAUCCCACGCCGCCGCCGCCGCCCACCACCCCGGCGAUCCCCAGCCUCUCCCUCUCCUUCUCCCCUGCAUCCGUCGCCCGCACCUUCCCUCCCAGUCCCAGAUCAACCCGCGGUGAGCCGGCGGCCAGGACACACGGCGGAUCUGGACAUGGACUUGGAGGCCAGCACGAAUCUAAGCUCGCCGGCGAGACGAAUCCAUGCCCUGCGCCUUCCAGCGGAUCGUGCCGUGGCCUCCCCGAUUCGUUGCUCCGUCCGCAUCGCCCAACAGAUGUGAGCAUCAUGCAGCCUUCCCGAGUCGCUGAUUUCGGGGCGCUCGCGCACUCUGCUGGAUUCAGAAUAGAAGAUCUUGCUAAUUUCAGCACAAUCCAUUUCUCCGACUGAUCUAGCUACUACGGCGGCGGCAGCAGCAGCAGUAACAGCAGUUGAUCCUCAGGCACUACUAAAGCAAAAGGGAGCGCAACCAAAUCUAGUAGCUUUAAGAACUCAUAACAAUGAUAACUGGGGAGAGUCAAGUAUGGCUGAUACAAGUCCCCAGGAUUCGUUUCGAUUUUGGGUUGCUUCUGCUCAUGUUGUUGGUUGCUCUCUUCUCUUGUGUUGGUGAUGAUGUGAGGGUGGCCCUUCCUUUUCUUUGCUGCAGUGCAGGAGAAGAAAACCCUAGACCGACCCGAGGAUUCGUCCGACAACCACCUGAGGAGGAAGCAAGCCAUGGACGGACCUCCCUUUCCUUGAAUGCUGCGCCCUCCCACCCAUCUUCCUGCAGCUGCAGGUUUUUGUUUUCGUCACUCCUUUGUUAUAUGGAAGAAGACUUCAUGACUUUGUGAACCCACAUGAGCUAGGGGUUGCACCACAGGAGCAUAGCGUGUACAAGUACUGAACAUUGAAGAUUGCAUUGCAGCUCAUCAAAGAUAGCGACAGAGUGCUGCAGGAUAAUGAGAUGUUGAAGCGGCAGGCUGAAUCCAUGACACCGAAGUGCAAUUGUGGCAGAUUAUCUCUAUCUUUUCUUUUCAUUUUUCUUAUUAUUGAGUGAGAACAGAAUGAGGAACUGUGUGAUAGUACAUACAACAACUGUAGUAAAAAGAAACUUAUGUUUGCAAUUGUUAAUGACAUAGAUACUUGCAUGUUCUUUGAA